AGUGAACGCUGGCGGUAGGCCUAACACAUGCCAGUCGAACGGCAGCACAGUAAGAGCUUGCUCUUACGGGUGGCGAGUGGCGGACGGGUGAGGAAUACAUCGGAAUCUACUUUUUCGUGGGGGAUAACGUAGGGAAACUUACGCUAAUACCGCAUACGACCUACGUGUGAAAGCAGGGGAUCUUCGGACCUUGCGCGAUUGAAUGAGCCGAUGUCGGAUUAGCUAGUUGGCGGGGUAAAGGCCCACCAAGGCGACGAUCCGUAGCUGGUCUGAGAGGAUGAUCAGCCACACUGGAACUGAGACACGGUCCAGACUCCUACGGGAGGCAGCAGUGGGGAAUAUUGGACAAUGGGCGCAAGCCUGAUCCAGCCAUACCGAGUGGGUGAAGAAGGCCUUCGGGUUGUAAAGCCCUUUUGUUGGGAAAGAAAAGCAGCAGGUUAAUACCCCGCUGUUCUGACGGUACCCAAAGAAUAAGCACCGGCUAACUUCGUG
rnacentral:rRNA from 1 species